CCCGCGGCCGCCUCCUGGGGCAGAAUGGAACAGCCUGGGCCCAGGGCUCCGGAUCCCUCUCUCUGCCACCACAACCUCCAGCCAACAGGUGACCCCAACUGGGAUUCCUAUGCUACCACUAUGAGGACUGCAUUCACGCCUAAAGCAGGAGCAGUGCCUGCCUUAAUUCGCCAAAACGGUAUCAGAAGAUUAGGAUAUACAUAUUCACUUAGUGAUCCUAUUCUCAAUCAGACACAAUAUAGUGAUGAGUACACUUGGAAAUCACACUCUAAAGAAGAUUUGAUCAAAACUGAGACUUCAAGAGGAAUCAAGAGCCACAAAUCUCAUCUCAAUGAAGACAUUUUCCUGUGGACACUACCUCACUGUCAACAAAUGGGGACAUUAAAGAACUGCCUCCCUUGGAAAAUCCCUGCUUCAAUGAAAGAAGUUAACAAGGCAAUAUCAAAUCAGUUUAUUUCCCUUACUAAGAGAGACUUUGUGGAUGGAUCAAAAGCUCAGAAGAUUAAGAAAAGUUCUCACUUGUCUCUGGAAUGGAAAAAGUUACUUCCCCAACCUCCAGACACUGAAUUCCGAAGGAAUUACCAAAUUCCAGCUAAAAUUCCUGAGCUUCAAGAUUUCAGUUUCAAAUAUGGAUGCUACUCAAGCUUGCCCGUUGCUUCUCAGGGUCUAGUGCCUUCUGUGCUGCACAGCUACCUGAGGAACCAAGAGCACACAAAGAAACAGACCACAUACCAAAGUGACUACGACAAAACCUACCCAGAUUUCUUAAUGCUUUUAAACUCAUUUACUUUCUCUCAAGUCAAAGAGUACCUUCAGAGUCUUUCCUACAAAGAUGCCUCUGGGCCAGUCUGGCACUUCAGAAGAAAACCAAGAGGCUCCUAAGGGUCCGCUGGCUCAAUCUUCCCAGAGUUCCCAGCCAAAGCUCUGCAGCAAGCUCAAGUCAGCCUGCCUGUUCUUGCUCUCAAUUUUGUAUAUAAAAUUAUCCUCUGCAUUUUACAAGGAGCUCUUUUUACCUUUAGGAUCCACAUCUGUUGGACCCUGUAGAAAGAGGAUUUUUGUCUUCCCUAAGCAGAUGCUCCCAUCUGCCCAGGGACUUGCAAUGCAGAUUCAGCUGUCAUUUCUCUGCCCCCAUGGAAACCAUGGUGUCUGCAGGCACCGCUGUCUCUUACUGUGUGUCAGGUGCAAUCCAACCUUAGUGGCGCCCCUGAGGGUGAACUAGGGACUCCUCAAAGUGCUCUGGCAGCCUCGGAUCUACAUUCUCCAAGAUACUGGGAUAGACAAAUUAUUGAUCGCUUUAUUCGUACUCACUGUGACUCUAACAAAAAGAAGAAAUGAAAAGGGAAAAUAGUACAAAUGAAGAAAAUCUGAAAAUCAAUGGAAGCAUGAGGACAUUCCUAGUCAUUUUCUCAAUUAUCAAGGAAAAAUAAGAUGCAAAUAGCUUCAA